UACGUAGGGGGCAAGCGUUGUCCGGAAUCAUUGGGCGUAAAGAGCGUGUAGGCGGCUUGGUAAGUCCGCUGUGAAAGUCCAGGGCUCAACCCUGGAAUGCCGGUGGAAACUGUCGAGCUCGAGUCCGGAAGAGGCGAGUGGAAUUCCUGGUGUAGCGGUGAAAUGCGCAGAUAUCAGGAGGAACACCAAUGGCGAAGGCAGCUCGCUGGGACGGUACUGACGCUGAGACGCGAAAGCGUGGGGAGCAAACAGG
rnacentral:rRNA from 1 species